CUUCUACCACUCCCAAAAUCAUAUGAUUCUUUAAGUAUUCUGAACAACUUUGAUCAACCAAUCAGUUUCGACUCAUGUGCAUCACUGUACGUUAAUAUAAAAUCAAAUCAUCCAACAGCAAAUCAUGUGCAGCAAUCUCAGGUGCUUAGUUUACUUAGAUACCAAACUUAAUCAAUCAAUUAAUUUUUAUUUUUUUUAAGAAGUGGGUGUUUCUNNNNNNNNNNNNNNNNNNNNNNNNNNNNNNAGCAGUGGACAAAAUAUUAGUGGAAAUUCUUUUCGAAGGUUCAAUGAUGAAAGUUGAAACUCAAUAAAGCGGCAAGCUCUCUCCGCCUCUCUUUUUCUGUUGAAAUUGAAGAGGCCAACCCACCUUCCUUAGUUAUUACAAGAAACAGACAAAACUAGGCUUCCUCUCCUAAACAAAGUAAGGAAUUUUUCCUUUAAAUUAAUGCAAAAGCAUUUGCUUAUAUUUCUCCAAUACAUCUUAUUGUUGGCUUUUAAUUUUGUUUAGGAUGAGAAUUGCUUAUAGAAUGAUUGCAUGUGGGAGCAGCAGAGUGGUUUGACCAUCGAGUACUUGAAAUUCUUUCAAAGAAGCUUUAAUUGAAUUUUUUGUGGCAGAAAUUUUAGGACAGUGAUUUGAGUGGAAGAUACGCUUC
rnacentral:lncRNA from 1 species